rnacentral:rRNA from 1 species
GCAAGUCGAGGGGUAACGAUACUUUCGGGUAGGCGACGACCGGCGCACGGGUGAGUAACGCGUAUGCAACCUACCCAUUGCUGGAGCAUAGGCCGAAGAAAUUCGGAUUAAUACUCCAUAAUAUCAUUUUAACACAUGUUUUAAUGAUUAAAGUUCCGGCGGCAAUGGAUGGGCAUGCGUGACAUUAGUUAGUUGGUGAGGUAACAGCUCACCAAGACUGCGAUGUCUAGGGGGUCUUAAAGGAUGAUC